GAUGAACGCUGGCGGCGUGCCUAAUACAUGCGAGUCGAGCGAACGGACGAGAAGCUUGCUUCUCUGAUGUUAGCGGCGGACGGGUGAGUAACACGUGGAUAACCUACCUAUAAGACUGGGAUAACUUCGGGAAACCGUAGCUAAUACCGGAUAAUAUUUUGAACCGCAUGGUUCAAAAGUGAAAGACGGUCUUGCUGUCACUUAUAGAUGGAUCCGCGCUGCAUUAGCUAGUUGGUAAGGUAACGGCUUACCAAGGCAACGAUGCAUAGCCGACCUGAGAGGGUGAUCGGCCACACUGGAACUGAGACACGGUCCAGACUCCUACGGGAGGCAGCAGUAGGGAAUCUUCCGCAAUGGGCGAAAGCCUGACGGAGCAACGCCGCGUGAGUGAUGAAGGUCUUCGGAUCGUAAAACUCUGUUAUUAGGGAAGAACAUGUGUGUAAGUAACUGUGCACAUCUUGACGGUACCUAAUCAGAAAGCCACGGCUAACUACGUG
rnacentral:rRNA from 1 species